rnacentral:rRNA from 1 species
GUCUAUGGCCAUGUCACUCUGAACAAGCCCAAUGUCUGAUCUCGGAAGCUAAGCAAGGUUGGGCCUGGUUAGUACUCGGAUGGAAGACCAACUAAGAAGACCAAGUGCUGUAGGCA